rnacentral:rRNA from 1 species
AUUGAACGCUGGCGGCAGGCCUAACACAUGCAAGUCGAACGAGUGGCGGACGGGUGAGUAAUGUAUGGGAAACUGCCUGAUGGAGGGGGAUAACCACUGGAAACGGUAGCUAAUACCGCAUACCAUCGGAUGUGCCCAGAUGGGCUUAGCUAGUAGGUGGGGUAAAGGCUCACCUAGGCGACGAUACCGAGCUGGUCUGAGAGGAUGACCAGCCACACUGGAACUGUGACACGGUCGAGACUCCUAAGGGAGGCAGCAUUGGGGAAGAUUGCACAAUGGGCGCAAGCCUGAUGCAGCCAUGCCGCGUGUAUGAAGAAGGCCUUCGGGUUGUAAAGUACUUUCAGCGGGGAGGCGGUACCCGCAGAAGAAGCACCGGCUAACUCCGUGCCAGCAGCCGCGGUAAUUC